rnacentral:rRNA from 1 species
GACGUGCGCAGGCGGUUAUGUAAGACAGAUGUGAAAUCCCCGGGCCUCAACCUGGGAACUGCAUUUGUGACUGCAUGGCUAGAGUACGGUAGAGGGGGAGUGGAAUUCCGCGUGUAGCAGUGAAAUGCGUAGAUAUGCGGAGGAACACCGAUGGCGAAGGCAAUCCCCUGGACCUGUACUGACGCUCAUGCACGAAAGCGUGGGGAGCAAACAGGAUUAGAUACCCCAGU